rnacentral:rRNA from 1 species
AGAGAGAGACAUGCGCGCAUAUCAAUAAGCGGAGGAAAAGAAACUAACAUAGGAUUCCCUCAGUAACGGCGAGUGAAGCGGGAAGAGCUCAAAUUUGAAAUCUUCAAGGUUCUACCUUGACGAAUUGUAGUUUAAAGAAGUGUUUUCUGUUGGAGUUUUGGUAAAAGUUCUUUGGAAUAGGACAUCAUAGAGGGUGAGAAUCCCGUAUUUGACCAUUAUUUCCAGCUUUGUGAUACACUUUCAAAGAGUCGGAUUGUUUGGGAAUGCAGUCCAAAAAUGGGUGGUAAAUUUCAUCUAAAGCUAAAUAUUGGCGAGAGACCGAUAGCGAACAAGUACCGUGAGGGAAAGAUGAAAAGAACUUUGAAAAGAGAGUUAAACAGUACGUGAAAUUGUCAAAAGGGAAGCGUUUGACACCAGUGUUGUUUUCUCGAAAAUCAAUUAAAAAAGGCAGGAUUUUGUGUUGUAUUGACUUUAUCAGCUUUCUGCACUCUUUUCUUGUCUUUUUUAAUGCACUUUUCGUUUAACAAGUCAACAUCAAUUUCUUUUGUUGUAAAAGGGUCAUUGGAAGGUGGCUUUCUUUUCGGAGAAAGUGUUUAUAGCCUUUGGCCUCUGCAAUCGGAGAGAUUGAGGUCUGCAGCGUAGAUCCUUCGGGGUUAGAUACAUUUGUGCUAAGUUAUAGCCUUUUCAUAGACAACUUGUUGACUAUGAUCAGUCAUGUAGCUUACUCGCUUAUGCUAUUUUACCUACGCUUAGGAUGUUGAUGUGAUACUGCGAGCA